rnacentral:rRNA from 1 species
UACGUAGGGGGCGAGCGUUGUCCGGAUUUAUUGGGCGUAAAGAGCGUGCAGGCGGCCCGGUAAGUCCGCUGUGAAAGUCCAGGGCUCAACCCUGGGAUGCCGGUGGAUACUGUCGGGCUCGAGUCCGGAAGAGGAGUGUGGAAUUCCUGGUGUAGCGGUGAAAUGCGCAGAUAUCAGGAGGAACACCAAUGGCGAAGGCAGCACUCUGGGACGUGACUGACGCUGAGACGCGAAAGCAUGGGGAGCGAACAGG